AAGAAACUCAAUAAACCCAGGAAAAUGGAAUGCCCAAAAUCACUCGAAAAAAAAUCAUCCAAUUUUAAAAAUAUCUUUCAAAGACGGAGAAAAACCGAUGUUGAUAAAAAUGAAACAAAUAUGAGAUGCGAGGUACGAAACAGAGCACCACCCUGUUUGAGUCAAAUGAGGAAAUAUGCUAGUGGUCGUGAAGGUAAUUUAUCGAAUUUCGAUUGGAAAAACGUGCAGAUUACACCUGAUGAUCAUCGGAAAUAUUACUCCGAUGAUGAUAGAGAUGAUUAUCAUGAAGCUGAAGAUGAAGAUGAGGUAAUAAUUCCAUUUUCA
rnacentral:misc_RNA from 1 species